rnacentral:lncRNA from 1 species
UUUAAUCUUUCAAGAGAUUUCCUUUUUUGUGGUUAUCAGGAAAAAGUCUACUGGAUUUAGCACACGAGGAUAGGAAACUUGGAACACAGCGGAUGAGUAACACAAACCUACGCUUAGGAUUCUCCAAGCUGUACUAAAGCAUUUGUCACUCAGCAUUUUGACCUGCAAAAAGGUCUGCCCGGGGUUGAUGGUGCUCCUCAUGCAGCUUCAGCAGCAGCAUUCACAUUUGGAGAUUUGCACAGGACCUCUGUAUUGGCAGGCUGCUUUUCAUUACAACAGGAGGGCCAAUUUUGGGUAUCAUAUGCAGCUGAAAAAUUUUUACAGAAUCCUCUUUCCCUGCUGCCUCUGCAACAUCCAACUAUGCCCAGCUUGGUCUGAUAAACUUAUUCAGCCUCACCAUCUCCUGAACUCUCCAGGCCUGAAAACUGCCUACUAAGAGUACGCUUGCCAUCCUUCGUGAAUAAAAGCAGCAGUUUUGUUCA